GAGGAGGGACUCGCACACCGGCUUGCCGCCGUGGAGGAGGACCGGGACCUUCUUGUGGACGGGGUUGGAGGCGAGGAGCAGCUCGCUCUUGUCGGCGAGGUCCUCCUCCACGUUCUCGUACUCCAGGCCCUUGAGGUGCAGCGCCAUGCGCACGCGGUUCACGAACGGGCUCGGCCACGCACCCAGCACCUUCAGCUGCCCGUCCUCUCCUCCGGCCCCGGCCGCG
rnacentral:lncRNA from 1 species